rnacentral:pre_miRNA from 14 species
AUUUAGUAGUGAAAGAUCCCACACAGAGAGACCCUUACUCAAGUCUUGGGAAAUCGUGGACCCCAGACACAGAGAGACCA